GGACGCGGUGGCGCUUUACCCUGGCAGCAGCGGCCGGUGGCAGCCCGCACCUUCUGUCAGCACUUUCAGAAACGUCCUCCUGGGGCCGGAGGGUCACACCAGUAACAGCUGGGAGGCGCCCCUUUCUCAGCUGCCUGAGCCUUAGCCUGCAGUCGCCUCCACUAAAGAAGCAGCGCUCCCUCCUCCACAGGUAAAUGGAAAAGAGACCAAGAGAAAAAAAUAAGUGAUUUAAUGACCUGGCUUUACCCACAGAGUGGAGAAUAAAAUACAAGAAUCCAAACCCUGCCCUUCUAUGUCAUCAUCGUCUUUGACAAAUACAGGUGAGUGUUUUUAUUCAUUUUGAGAGUUGACCUAGUGCCUAUGGAAACAGAAAAGGGCCAAGAUAACACUGCA
rnacentral:lncRNA from 1 species